rnacentral:rRNA from 1 species
GCUUGCUACCUGACCUAGCGGCGGACGGGUGAGUAAUGCUUAGGAAUCUGCCUAUUAGUGGGGGACAACAUUCCGAAAGGAAUGCUAAUACCGCAUACGCCCUACGGGGGAAAGCAGGGGAUCUUCGGACCUUGCGCUAAUAGAUGAGCCUAAGUCAGAUUAGCUAGUUGGUGGGGUAAAGGCCUACCAAGGCGACGAUCUGUAGCGGGUCUGAGAGGAUGAUCCGCCACACUGGGACUGAGACACGGCCCAGACUCCUACGGGAGGCAGCAGUGGGGAAUAUUGGACAAUGGGCGAAAGCCUGAUCCAGCCAUGCCGCGUGUGUGAAGAAGGCCUUUUGGUUGUAAAGCACUUUAAGCGAGGAGGAGGCUACUUGGAUUAAUACUCUAGGAUAGUGGACGUUACUCGCAGAAUAAGCACCGGCUAACUCUGUGCCAGCAGCCGCGGUAAUACAGAGGGUGCGAGCGUUAAUCGGAUUUACUGGGCGUAAAGCGUGCGUAGGCGGCUUCUUAAGUCGGAUGUGAAAUCCCUGAGCUUAACUUAGGAAUUGCAUUCGAUACUGGGAAGCUAGAGUAUGGGAGAGGAUGGUAGAAUUCCAGGUGUAGCGGUGAAAUGCGUAGAGAUCUGGAGGAAUACCGAUGGCGAAGGCAGCCAUCUGGCCUAAUACUGACGCUGAGGUACGAAAGCAUGGAGAGCAAACAGGAUUAGAUACCCUGGUAGUCCAUGCCGUAAACGAUGUCCACUAGCCGUUGGGGCCUUUGAGGCUUUAGUGGCGCAGCUAACGCGAUAAGUAGACCGCCUGGGGAGUACGGUCGCAAGACUAAAACUCAAAUGAAUUGACGGGGGCCCGCACAAGCGGUGGAGCAUGUGGUUUAAUUCGAUGCAACGCGAAGAACCUUACCUGGUCUUGACAUAGUAAGAACUUUCCAGAGAUGGAUUGGUGCCUUCGGGAACUUACAUACAGGUGCUGCAUGGCUGUCGUCAGCUCGUGUCGUGAGAUGUUGGGUUAAGUCCCGCAACGAGCGCAACCCUUUUCCUUAUUUGCCAGCGGGUUAAGCCGGGAACUUUAAGGAUACUGCCAGUGACAAACUGGAGGAAGGCGGGGACGACGUCAAGUCAUCAUGGCCCUUACGACCAGGGCUACACACGUGCUACAAUGGUCGGUACAAAGGGUUGCUACCUAGCGAUAGGAUGCUAAUCUCAAAAAGCCGAUCGUAGUCCGGAUUGGAGUCUGCAACUCGACUCCAUGAAGUCG